rfam:Myotis lucifugus cont2.194, whole genome shotgun sequence.
GGCCGGUUAGUUCAGUUGGUUAGAGCAUGGUGCUAAUAGCACCAAGGUUGUGGGUUCAAUCCCCAUAUGGGCCA